rnacentral:sRNA from 1 species
GCUGGGCAUGGUGGUACAUGCCUGUAAUCCCAGCAGCUAGGGAGGCUGAGACAGGAGGGUCAUGAGUUCAAAGCCUCAGCAAUGGAGAGGCACUAAGCAACUCAGAAACACCCUGUCUCUA